AAAAAAACAAACUCUGAGUUUCCGUGCCAACGUUUGACUAUCCAUCUUAUAUGAAACUUUUUUAUAAUUAGUAUUUUCAUUGUUAUUAGAUGAUAAAACAUGAUUAAUACUUUAUGCGUGACUUAUCUUUUUAAUUUUUUUCAUAAUUUUUUUAAAUAAGACAAACGGUCAAUCGUUGGCCACGGAAAUCAGGGUUUGUCUUUUU
rfam:Oryza sativa Japonica Group DNA, chromosome 1, cultivar: Nipponbare, complete sequence.